CUUGUACAACUGUCUUACUUUGUUAGUCAAUGUUCCUAGACAUAAAUUUGACAUGAAUUGGAAAUUUUCACUUUCAAGUUAUCCUCUGAUGCAAACAUCACCUUAUACACAAAUCAAUUAUCACUUGGUAAACACAAAACACAAACUCCUCAAAAGAGGGGGAAAAAGAAGAGAAUUUGAGAUGGCAACUAAGAAUCAUCAGAAAGUUAACAUAAAUUUCAUUCCAAAAAGACUUGAAAGCAAGAACUUAACAUAAGCUUCCAUAUAUUACUUUUAAUAAACCUAAGUUGACAAUGAUCAAAAUUUACAUAAGCUCAAGACUAGUCAUUUCAAAAAGCUGGAAAAUAGCUACAAAUUUCAAACACCAAAAGCUCUAUUCCUCGUCUACUUCUACCUCUUCCUUCACUUCAUCAACUACUUCUGUUUCUUCUUUCACUUCCUCAACUACUUCUACUUCUUCCUUCACUUCCUUCUCAGACAACUCAUCUUCAUCCUGAAAUUAUUAAUUUAGAUGUAAGAAUAGGAAAAAUACACAACAAUUUUAAAAAACUACCGACUACAAUUUCCAACAAUAACAAAGAUAACAAGAACCCACAUUGGCAUUCUCAGCAUCAGUGAUAGACUGCUUCAGGGCCUUUUCAUAUGCUGCUUUGAGCUCUGCUGCCUUAUCCUGAUAAGGCUUUUUCUCCUGGUGAAACCAUUUGAACCACAAGAGUAAGAAUCACAUUCGACAUGUUACAACAAACUAGUAAAAACCAUAUUACACAUGCCACUCACCUCAUCAGUCAUGGACU
rnacentral:lncRNA from 1 species